CUCACACGAGAAUCCCGUGUGCCUGCUCUCACCUGGGGUAUUCUAAGAAGGAAGCAUCUUGUUCAGCAGGGCUGAACCCCGCCAACCCAAAGUGAAAAAGUAAUUGUUGGGGAUUAAGAGGAAGGUGAAACUCAUUGAUAAAUUAGCUGUUUGAACUUUACAAUAUGAAAGAGAUCAAUCGUCGGUCAGAUAGGAAAGGUGCUUUCAGAAAUAAAGUUGCUGCAAUAACACCUAAGCUUUGUGCUGAUGAACAUGGUCACCUUGAAAGGUGUGUUGAAUAUGGCAGAGCCAGAAAAUGCAAGGAGCUUCUUCUCUGGAUCACCACUUGAAGAAGAGCCACUUGCUCCUCAGGAACCCUAUUUUGGACUGACGUUGCAAGAAAGCUCAAGUAGCCUAUGGAGAGGAUGCAAGGCUUCCAGCUGAUGCCCUCAGCCAGGCUCAGUAGCAGCCAGAACUAGCCUACCAACGAACCUGCUGAUCAUGUGCAUAAGCCACCUUGAACGUCGAUCCUCCUGCCUGGUGGAGCCAUCCCAGCUGAUGCCACAUGAAGCAGACACAAGCUGUCCCUACUAAGCUCUGCUCAAGUUGGAUAUUCAUGAGUGAAAUAAAUGACUGUUACUAAGUAAUUAAUUUUUGGGUGGCUGUUAUGUAGCAGUAGAUAAUUGGAACAAAGCUUAUUGACAUAAUACAUCUAUAUCACAUCCUCCAAUCCAUUUUUUUAAGUAAUAAAGUUGAUGUUUGUUUUGAUUUUCAGUUACAGCUUUACAUAUUUUGUCUUAAUUAGUCAAUUUUUUCCAAACUCAAAAUGGGUUUUUGUAAGAGUAGUAGUAGGGUCCUAGAAUAAUGGCAAUUCUCUUUCACUGGAGAAAGUUUUGUAGAGAAGACAAAAGAAUUUUUACAAGUACUCCACUGGUGAAAACUCAUAAACCUUGAAGGUAUUUUUAAAUUCAUCAUGCAUUUAUCAAUUUAUAAAUGAAUUCAUCAUUCAUUGGUCCAUUCAUCCAUCCCUCCAUCCAUUUCUAGAUCCUCUCAUAAGAGGAAAUCUAGGAAUAAGCCUGAUCAGUGAAAGUUUCAUGGGAAAGAGGAAGGAGGAAGAAAUUAUUUUAUUUUUAGAGUUUUGGGAGUUAGUGGUUAUGGACUUGCACUGGAGAAGAUGGGUGAGAAAGUUCAAGGUUUCUAAAAUGGGAAAGUAGGCCUGGAGAAAAUGUUGCAACCAAGAUUAUAAGGCCAAUUACCAGGUCUGAUUACCAGAAAAUAAUUUUUAAGGCAGGAAUAUUAGGCCAUAUCAGUACCUGAAAGAGUGAUCGAGGCUAAUUUGUUCAUUCAUGUAACAACAAUUUAUUAUGUGCUACUAAGUACCAUCACUAUAUUAUAAACUGAGGGUUCAGUAGUGGAUAAGAGAAACUAAUUCCCUGGCCUAAUGAAGAUUUCAUUCAACGGGGAAAACAAGAAACAUAUAUGUAAAUUAGCAAAAGUUAAUAAUAUCAUUCAAAGAGUGCUAAGAGCUCUGAAAAUAGUAAAGCAGGGUGACUGAUAAAACAGGACUAAGCAGGUAACAGUAAGAGGUGAUCAGGGAAAAAACCUCUGAAGAAAACAUAUUUGAUCUGGAAUCCAAAUGGCAAGUAGAAUGAAGAAGGUAAAUAAUUCAUACAAGAGCAUAUCUCUUCCAUAGCAAGUGCAAAGACCCUGGGCAAAUGCCAUAGUUGAGCUAGCACCCACCACUGGCUUCAAGUGAUGGGUGAGUGAUACAGACUCAAGGAAAGGGCCAAAAGGGCAGACAAAACCAGUUCAAUUUGUCACUUAUUCAUCCACCCAUUGAUCCAUCUACUGAUCCAUUUAUCCAUCCAUCCAUCCAUCCAUCCAUCCAUCCAUCCAUCCAUCUAUUCAACAUACAUGUUGGGUGCCCUUUACAUACCAGGACCUGUACUGGGCAUGGGAACUGCAGAGAUGAAAAGAUGAACAAUCUCUGUACUUGAGGGACUCAUCUCACUCUGUGAGAUGAACUGGCAUGUGACUGAAAACUCACUAUAUUGGUAACGAGACUAAAACACAGAGCUUAAUGAUUUAACCUGAUACCACCCAAGUGGUUAGCGGUUAGUGGCAGGGCUUCAGAAUUUUAUUUUCCUUCCCUACAGGGAAAACCAUUAUGUGUGACCUACUUUUUCAAACUCUCUUCCUCAGUGGGGCAACAAUUAGAGUUUAUCUAUUGCUAGUGCUUACCAUUUUAGGCUCCUUUAAUUAGAGUGUUUUAAAUUAGUGUUAUUUUAAUUUUGCUUAUCUCCUGAGACAUUAUAGAGGAUAAAUAGCAAAUGAAAUAAUGUACAUGAAAACACAUUGUAACCCAUAAACCAUCAUACAGAUGUGUGUUAUAUACAGUUUUAUAUUUGAGGAUAUAGCUUUAUGCAUUAGUACUGCUUCCUCCUCAGGGAUGUCUCCAAAAGAAUUCAGAGUAAAACAGACUUGUGGAUUGAUGCUUUAAAGACAUUUUGUAUUUUCUUUAAAAAUAAAAUUGACUCACAGUAGGUGCUUAAUAAAUAUUUGUUCAAAGAAUGCAUAAGAUGCAAUAUUCAGAGACAUAGAUUCAGUGUAGUAGGCAUCAGUGUGGCUACUUGGCUACUUACUGUGCAAAAGAUGUCAAUUUGUGAGUGCAAAUUCAUCUUAAGGAAAUUCUCUGAUUUAAUUUAAGCAUUGGUAGAGAGAUUUACUAUUAUCCUCCUUGGAAAUGAAAAGCAUAUAGCUCAGGGAAGGAAGAUCACAUUUUUAGGAGAACUAUCUGGGGGCAGAUUACCCAAAGUGUUAAUUAUUAUAAUUACUAUUGUUAAGUUGGUUUUAAAGUCCUAUAUGAUGUAAUAUCAUGUUCUCUUUUUGUUUCUCCAG
rnacentral:lncRNA from 10 species